rnacentral:rRNA from 1 species
AGUGAAUAGAUACCCAGGUAGUCCACGCCGUAAACGAUGAAUACUAGGUGUAGGAGGUAUCGACUCCUUCUGUGCCGCAGUUAACACAAUAAGUAUUCCGCCUGGGAAGUACGGUCGCAAGAUUAAAACUCAAAGGAAUUGACGGGGACCCGCACAAGCAGCGGAGCAUGUGGUUCAAUUCGAAGCAACGCGAAGAACCUUACCUAGACUUGACAUCUCCUGAAUUACUCGUAACUGAGGAAAUCCCUUCGGGGACAGGAAGACAGGUGGUGCAUGGUUGUCGUCAGCUCGUGUCGUGAGAUGUUGGGUUAAGUCCCGCAACGAGCGCAACCCUUUAUCAUUAGUUGCUAACAUUAAGCUGAGCACUCUAAUGAGACUGCCUGGGUUAACCAGGAGAAGGUGGGGAUGACGUCAAAUCAUCAUGCCCCUUAUGUCUAGGGCUACACACGUGCUACAAUGGUGGGGACAAAAAGAUGCGAAACCGUAAGGUUGAGCCAAACUCAAGACCCAUCCCAGUUCGGAUUGUAGGCUGAAACUAC